UACGGAGGGUGCGAGCGUUAAUCGAAAUUACUGGGCGUAAAGGGUGCGUAGGUGGCUGAGAAAGUUACUUGUGAAAGUCCUGGGCUUAACCCAGGUUGGACGAGUGAUACUGUUUAGCUAGAGUACAGGAGAGGGCAGUGGAAUUCCAGGUGUAGCGGUGAAAUGCGUAGAUAUCUGGAGGAACAUCGGUGGCGAAGGCGGCUGCCUGGCCUGAUACUGACACUGAGGCACGAAAGCGUGGGGAGCAAACAGG
rnacentral:rRNA from 1 species